rnacentral:rRNA from 1 species
UACGUAGGUCCCGAGCGUUGUCCGGAUUUAUUGGGCGUAAAGCAAGCGCAGGUGGUUUAUUAAGUCUGGUGUAAAAGGCAGUGGCUCAACCAUUGUAUGCAUUGGAAACUGGUAGACUUGAGUGCAGGAGAGGAGAGUGGAAUUCCAUGUGUAGCGGUGAAAUGCGUAGAUAUAUGGAGGAACACCGGUGGCGAAAGCGGCUCUCUGGCCUGUAACUGACACUGAGGCUCGAAGGCGUGGGGAGCAAACAGG